AGGACGAACGCUGGCGGCGUGCUUAACACAUGCAAGUCGAGCGGAAAGGCCCUUCGGGGUACUCGAGCGGCGAACGGGUGAGUAACACGUGAGUAAUCUGCCCCUAGCUCUGGGAUAGCUCCGGGAAACCGGGAUUAAUACCAGAUACGACCACUUUAGACAUCUGUUGUGGUGGAAAGAAUUUCGGCUAGGGAUGAGCUCGCGGCCUAUCAGCUUGUUGGUGAGGUAACGGCUCACCAAGGCGACGACGGGUAGCCGGCCUGAGAGGGCGACCGGCCACACUGGGACUGAGACACGGCCCAGACUCCUACGGGAGGCAGCAGUGGGGAAUAUUGCGCAAUGGGCGAAAGCCUGACGCAGCGACGCCGCGUGGGGGAUGGAAGGCCUUCGGGUUGUAAACCCCGUUUCAGCGAGGGACGAAGCGAAAGUGACGGUACCUGCAGAAGAAGCGCCGGCUAACUACGCGCCAGCAGCCGC
rnacentral:rRNA from 1 species